rnacentral:sRNA from 1 species
GGUGCUGGCGGCUCCGGGUCGUGGCGCGACCGCUGCGGCGGCGGCUGCUCGGGGGGCGCUGAGGUAGCCCCCCGGCGCGGCACAGCGGACGCGCUCCUCCUCUGCGCGCCGGGGCCUCGAGGCUUUUUUUCUCCAGCCGAGAGGACGCGGCUGUGAUAUACGAAGACUUUGUGUGGACAGUAAUGACCUCACGUUUCCGAUUGCCUGCUGGCAGAACCUACAAUGUACGAGCAUCAGAGUUGGCCCGAGACAGACAGCAUACUGAAGUGGUUUGCAACAUCCUUCUUCUGGAUAACACUGUACAAGCUUUCAAAGUCAAUAAACAUGAUCAGGGGCAAGUCUUGUUGGAUAUAGUCUUCAAGCAUCUAGAUUUGACUGAGCAGGACUAUUUUGGUUUACAGUUGGCUGAUGAUUCCACAGAUAACCCAAGGUGGCUGGAUCCAAACAAACCAAUAAGGAAGCAGCUAAAGAGAGGAUCUCCUUACAGUUUGAACUUUAGAGUCAAAUUUUUUGUAAGUGACCCCAACAAGUUACAAGAAGAAUAUACAAGCAGGUGCUAGCAUCAUUAGAAUUGAAU